UACGUAGGGGGCGAGCGUUGUCCGGAUUUAUUGGGCGUAAAGAGCUCGUAGGCGGUUCGAUAAGUCGGACGUGAAAUCUCCACGCUCAACGUGGAGGGGCCGUUCGAUACUGUCGUGACUCGAGUCCGGUAGGGGAGUGUGGAAUUCCCGGUGUAGCGGUGAAAUGCGCAGAGAUCGGGAGGAACACCGUUGGCGAAGGCGACUUUCUGGGCUGCUACUGACGCUGAGGCGCGAAAGUCAGGGGAGCGAACAGG
rnacentral:rRNA from 1 species